GAAAGCCUGAUCCAGCAAUGCCGCGUGAGUGAUGAAGGCCUUAGGGUUGUAAAGCUCUUUUACCAGGGAUGAUAAUGACAGUACCUGGAGAAUAAGCUCCGGCUAACUCCGUGCCAGCAGCCGCGGUAAUACGGAGGGAGCUAGCGUUGUUCGGAAUUACUGGGCGUAAAGCGCGCGUAGGCGGUUACUCAAGUCAGAGGUGAAAGCCCGGGGCUCAACCCCGGAACUGCCUUUGAAACUAGGUGACUAGAAUCUUGGAGAGGUCAGUGGAAUUCCGAGUGUAGAGGUGAAAUUCGUAGAUAUUCGGAAGAACACCAGUGGCGAA
rnacentral:rRNA from 1 species